CAACACCAAACCCUAAUUCAUUUCCCUUGCUGACCCAGCCGCCACCUUUCCUUUUCCUCUCUCUAUUCUCUCUAAUCCCUGACCCGUCAACCCCAUAAACCUUGCACCAAAUCAUGAAAGGUUGUAAAUAAUGACCCCAAAUCAUCCCUUGUGCCCUGUCACUCUGAGAAUCUUGCUAAUAUCUUCCUAUUUUAUCAUAUGAAUUUGAAAUCUCAAGUUUUCUGACUUACACUUAAAGAUAAAACUUCAAGUCUUCAAGAUCUUCUAGUGCUCCAACAAAAUCAGAGAAUGCAUGGGCAUCUCAUUAUGUUUAUUCGAAAUCAGAGGUCAAAUGCAAUUACCUCUAGAUUUCCGGACUUUGUCCGAUGGUCUUUCUUGCCUGCAAUGGUUGUCUUCCACUCAAGUAAAACUCCUAUGAUUUUCCCUUCUAAUCUUUGGAUUUUCACUGACUUUGCUCGCAUCAUCAAUCUUUUUGUCGCUCUCCACUAUCGAUUUGAAUUUUUUUUUGAACUCUAAGGCUUCAAUGGACACUAUAAAUAGAGCCUUCAAUUCUCUCACCUAACACGACCUACCACCUAAUACAGCAUAGAAAAUAAAAUAGAAUUAAAAAGCCCUAAACUUCUCACUGAUUUUCUUUUCUUUCUCCGGUUCUGAGUUCAUACACUGUCUGGACUUGAGUUUUUGUUUCCUAACGGCUAAAUAAAAGGCUUUGCUUGAUUUGCUGCUCUGCAAAAGGAUGUUAUGCCUUGACUCUUACUGAACCCGGCGAGAAUGUGAUAUCAUGAAUGAUUUAUGGAGAAAGUGAUCGCCUAUUAGAGUUGAAAUCAAUUUGCUAAUUUACAUAAUCAUGUUGAUGCUCUCUAAAGAUCCUAUAUAAAAUUGUUAAUUCAUACACCUAUUAGAAUCCAAGACUUCCAUGUGUUUAAACCCCUGAUCAACUUAAGCCUGGAACUGUUAAGCAUGAGGACCCUCUGUAAAUUUGAACUAUGUACCUAUUCUAUUUCAUAAGUUGUUUGACUCAAUAGUCUGACCUUUCGAAAUGAUCUGCCACUAAUCGUUUCCCUUAAUUAUACGUGUUAUCAUUUUCUUUGGAUGUUCUUCUGUAUAUAGGUGGUUCUUAACAAUGAACUACACACUGGUGUUUAAGUUGUGAUUUCUUUAGUAUUGUCUGUUAUUACAUCUUCAAAAUAACAUUCAACAUAGUUUCUCUUGGAAGUACAGAUGCCUAAGCAUGUGUAUGAUUGUUACAGUUGUACUAAAAUUUGCAUUGAAUGCCUCAUUGGCUUUUAAACCUAUAGGGAAGAGUAAGUGUGAGUGGAUAGGUGUAUUUACGAGUGAGAUUUAGUUUGUAGUUGAGAUACUCUCCUUGACACAUGCACUGCUCGGGGUCAUUGAGACCCUUGUGAAAUUUGAAGUGUCAGGGGCUCAAAGAGUGUCUUGGAUAUAAAUGUAAUCUCAUCUUAAGCCCUUAAUCAUUGACAGUUACUAAUCUCUUUAGGGUUAGUGUUUAAUGAAGAAAAAGGCUUCACUAUAACUUUCCUUACUCUGCCCGAUCAUACACAAGCUUAUUUACAUUUUUAACAACAAAUAUUUGUUAUAGUCUCAUUUGGACCUUAUGUUUGAUCUUAUCUUCCUUUCAACAUUUUGUUGGGUUUUUGUCACUAAUUUCUUCCUUUUUCUCUUGAACAUAUAACUGAACUGGGCCUGCUGAGGUUUCAAAAAUUCAGGCCCAAGUUCCAGCCUUUGAGUUUGAUGUCAUGGGAGCCGUUGCUGCUUGUAUGUUGUUUGCUGGGCCUAACCUUCUUCAGACCCAAAUUAUUGAGUCCAAUUCCCUUUCCUUCCUCAUUAGAAGAAUUAAAUCUGUUAUCUUUUCUUUACAUGAGUAUAAUACAAACAAAAUUGAUUGAAUGUUUUA